AUUGCCUCAGUAACGGCGAGUGAAGCGGCAAGAGCUCAAAUUUGAAAUCUGGCCCCCCCGGGGUCCGAGUUGUAAUUUGGAGAGGAUGCUUCGGGCGCCGUUCCCGUCUAAGUGCCCCUGGAACGGGCUGUCGCAGAGGGUGAGAACCCCGUCUGGGACGGGCGACGGCGCCCGUGUGAAGCUCCUUCGACGAGUCGAGUUGUUUGGGAAUGCAGCUCUAAGCGGGUGGUAAAUUUCAUCUAAAGCUAAAUACUGGCCGGAGACCGAUAGCGCACAAGUAGAGUGAUCGAAAGAUGAAAAGCACUUUGAAAAGAGAGUCAAACAGCACGUGAAAUUGUUGAAAGGGAAGCGUUGGCCCCCAGACGCGCCCGGGAGGGCUCAGCCGGCACGUGUGCCGGUGUACUCUCUCCCGGGCGGGCCAGCAUCGGUUUGGGCGGUCGCUGAAAGGCCCCGGGAAUGUAGCACCCUCCGGGGUGCCUUAUAGCCCGGGGCGGCAUGCGGCCCGCCGGGACCGAGGCCCGCGCUUCGGCGAGGAUGCUGGCGUAAUGGCGGUCAACGGCCCGUCUUGAAACACGGACCAAGGAGUCUAACAUCUAUGCGAGUGUUCGGGUGUCAAACCCGUCCGCGCAGUGAAAGCGAACGCCGGUGGGAACCCCUCUGGGGCGCACCAUCGACCGAUCCUGAUGUCCUCGGAUGGAUUUGAGUAAGAGCAUAGCUGUUGGGACCCGAAAGAUGGUGAACUAUGCCUGAAUAGGGCGAAGCCAGAGGAAACUCUGGUGGAGGCUCGCAGCGGUUCUGACGUGCAAAUCGAUCGUCAAAUUUGGGUAUA
rnacentral:rRNA from 1 species